UACGAAGGGUGCAAACGUUGCUCGGAAUUAUUGGGCGUAAAGCGCACGUAGGCGGCUCUGUAAGUCAGACGUGAAAUCCCUCGGCUUAACCGGGGAACUGCGUCUGAUACUGGAUGGCUUGAGAUUGGGAGAGGGAUGCGGAAUUCCAGGUGUAGCGGUGAAAUGCGUAGAUAUCUGGAGGAACACCGGUGGCGAAGGCGACAUCCUGGACCAACACUGACGCUGAGGAGCGAAAGCCAGGGGAGCAAACGGG
rnacentral:rRNA from 1 species